rnacentral:rRNA from 1 species
UACGGAGGGUGCGAGCGUUGUCCGGAAUCACUGGGCGUAAAGGGCGCGUAGGUGGCGCGGGUAGUCGUCGGUGAAAGCUCAGGGCUCAACCCUGAGUCGGCCGGUGAUACUCCCGUGCUCGAGUGUGGUAGAGGCCAAUGGAAUUCCGGGUGUAGCGGUGAAAAUGCGCAGAUAUCAGGAGGAACACCGGUGGCGAAAGGCGGGUCUCUGGGGCCGAUACUGACGUGAGGAGCGAAAAGCGUGGGGGAGCAAACAGG